GUCGAACGGCAGCGGGUCCUUCGGGAUGCCGGCGAGUGGCGAACGGGUGAGUAAUGUAUCGGAACGUGCCCAGUAGCGGGGGAUAACUACGCGAAAGCGUGGCUAAUACCGCAUACGCCCUUAGGGGGAAAGGCGGGGAUCCUUCGGGACCUGUCACUAUUGGAGCGGCCGAUAUCGGAUUAGCUGGUUGGUGGGGUAAUGGCCUACCAAGGCGACGAUCCGUAGCUGGUUUGAGAGGACGACCAGCCACACUGGGACUGAGACACGGCCCAGACUCCUACGGGAGGCAGCAGUGGGGAAUUUUGGACAAUGGGGCAACCCUGAUCCAGCCAUCCCGCGUGUGCGAUGAAGGCCUUCGGGUUGUAAAGCACUUUUGGCAGGGAAGAAAUUGCCUGGGUUAAUAGCCUGGGCCGAUGACGGUACCUGCAGAAUAAGCACCGGCUAACUACGUGCCAGCAGCCGCGGUAAUACGUAGGGUGCGAGCGUUAAUCGGAAUUACUGGGCGUAAAGCGUGCGCAGGCGGUUCGGAAAGAGAGAUGUGAAAUCCCAGGGCUCAACCUUGGAACUGCAUUUUUAACUACCGGGCUAGAGUGUGUCAGAGGGGGGUGGAAUUCCGCGUGUAGCAGUGAAAUGCGUAGAGAUGCGGAGGAACACCGAUGGCGAAGGCAGCCCCCUGGGAUAACACUGACGCUCAUGCACGAAAGCGUGGGUAGCAAACAGGAUUAGAUACCCUGGUAGUCCACGCCCUAAACGAUGUCAACUAGCUGUUGGGGCUUUCGGGCCUUGGUAGCGCAGCUAACGCGUGAAGUUGACCGCCU
rnacentral:rRNA from 1 species